rnacentral:lncRNA from 1 species
GCCGGACUCGGAAUGCCGCGAGACUUUGCGAGGGGCCUCCGUGUGCCAAAAAUAGGCAGCGGGCAAAGCCGGGUCAAGAAAUAACCCCCCGCAGGCCGGGGCGCCAAGUUCGUCCUGCGGAAAAAGGCCACAAAAACGGGUGGGCUAUAGCCUUGGGGGGUGGGGCUCGCCAACUUCGUCCGCCGGACUCGGAAUACAGUGAGACUUUGCGCGGGGCCUCCGUGUGCCAAAAAUAGGGCGCGGGCAAAGCCGCGUCAAGAAAUAACCGCCCGAAGGCCGGGGCGCCUAGUUCUUCCAGCGGAAAAAGGCCACAAAAACGGGUGGGCUAUAGCCUUCUGGGGUGGGGCUGGCCAACUUCGUCCGCCGGACUCGGAAUGCCGCGAGACUUUACGAGGCGCCUCCGUGUGCCAAAAAUAGGCCGCGGGCACAGCCGCGCCCAAAAAUAACCGCCCGAGGGCCGGGGCGCCAAGUUCGUCCAACGGAAAAAGGCCACAAAAACAGGUGGGCUAUAGCCUUGGGGGGUGGGGCUGGCCAACAUCGUCCGCCGGACUCGGAAUGCCGCGAUAAUUUGCGAGGGGCCUCCGUGUACCAAAAAUAGGCUGCGGGCAAAGCCGCGUCCAAAAAUAACCGCCCGAAGGCCGGGGCGCCAAGUUCGUCCAGCGGAAAAAGGCCACAAAAACGGGUGGGCUAUAGCCUUGGGGGGUGGGGCUGGCCAACUUCGUCCGCCGGACUCGGAAUGCCGCGAGACUUUGCGAGGGGCCUCCGUGUGCCAAAAAUAGGCAGCGGGCAAAGCCGGGUCAAGAAAUAACCCCCCGCAGGCCGGGGCGCCAAGUUCGUCCUGCGGAAAAAGGCCACAAAAACGGGUGGGCUAUAGCCUUGGGGGGUGGGGCUCGCCAACUUCGUCCGCCGGACUCGGAAUACAGUGAGACUUUGCGCGGGGCCUCCGUGUGCCAAAAAUAGGGCGCGGGCAAAGCCGCGUCAAGAAAUAACGGCCCGAAGGCCGGGGCGCCUAGUUCUUCCAGCGGAAAAAGGCCACAAAAACGGGUGGGCUAUAGCCUUCUGGGGUGGGGCUGGCCAACUUCGUCCGCCGGACUCGGAAUGCCGCGAGACUUUGCGAGGGGCCUCCGUGUGCCAAAAAUAGGCCGCGGGCAAAGCCACGCCCAAAAAUAACCGCCCGAAGGCCGGGGCGCCAAGUUAGUCCAGCGGAAAAAGGCCACAAAAACGGGCGGGCUAUAGCCUUGGGGGGUGGGGCUGGCCAACUUCGUCCGCCGGACUCGGAAUGCCGCGAGACUUUGUGAGGGGCCUCCGUGUACCAAAAAUAGGCCGCGGACAAAGCCACGCUCAAAAAUACCCGCCCGAAAGCUGGGGCGCCAAGUUAGUCCAGCGGAAAAGGCCCACAAAACGGGUGGGCUAUAACCUUGGGGGGGUGGGGCUGGCCAACUUUCUCCGCCGGACUCGGAAUGCCCGAAUCAUUGCGAAGGGCCUCCGUGUACCCAAAAUAGGCCGUGGACAAANNNNNNNNNNNNNNNNNNNNNNNNNNNNNNNNNNNNNNNNNNNNNNNNNNNNNNNNNNNNNNNNNNNNNNNNNNNNNNNNNNNNNNNNNNNNNNNNNNNNACAAAAACGGGUGGGCUAUAGCCUUGGGGGGUGGGGCUGGCCAACUUCGUCCGCCGGACUCGGAAUGCCGCGAGACUUUGCGAGGGUCCUCCGUGUGCCAAAAAUAGGCCGCGGGCAAAGCCACGCCCAAAAAUAACCGCCCGAAGGCCGGGGCGCCAAGUUAGUCCAGCGGAAAAAGGCCACAAAAACGGGCGGGCUAUAGCCUUGGGGGGUGGGGCUGGCCAACUUCGUCCGCCGGACUCGGAAUGCCGCGAGACUUUGUGAGGGGCCUCCGUGUACCAAAAAUAGGCCACGGACAAAGCCACGCUCAAAAAUAACCGCCCGAAGGCUGGGGCGCCAAGUUAGUCCAGCGGAAAAAGGCCACAAAAACGGGUGGGCUAUAGCCUUCGGGGGUGGGGCUGGCCAACGUCGUCCGCCGGACUCGGAAUGCCGUGAGACUUUGCGAGGGCCUCCGUGUGCCAAAAAUAGGUGGCGGGCAAAGCCGCGCCCAAAAAUAACCGCCCGAAGGCCAGGGCGCCAAGUUCGUCCAGCGGAAAAAGGCCACAAAAACGGGUGGGCUAUAGCCUUGGGGGGUGGGGCCGGCCAACUUCGUCCGCCGGACUCGGAAUGCCGCGAGACUUUGCGAGGGGCCUCCGUGUGCCAAAAAUAGGCCGCGGGCAAAGCCACGCCAAAAAAUAACCCCCCGAAGGCCGGGGCGCCAAGUUCGUCCAGCGGAAAAAGGCCACAAAAGCGGGUGGGCUAUAGCCUUGGGGGGUGGGGCUGGACAACUUCGUCCGCCGGACUCGGAAUGCCACGAGACUUUGCGAGGGGCUUCCGUGUGCCAAAAAUAAGCCGCGGUCAAAGCCGCGCCCAAAAAUAACCGCCCGAUGGCCGGGGCGCCAAGUUCGUCCAGCGGAAAAAGGCCACAAAAACAGGUGGGCUAUAGCCUUGGGGGGUGGGGCUGGCCUACUUCGUCCGCCGGACUCGGAAUGCCGCGAUACUUUGCGAGGGGCCUCCGUGUACCAAAAAUAGGCCGUGGGCAAAGCCGCGUCCAAAAAUAACAGCCCGAAGGCCGGGGCGCCAAGUUCGUCCAGCGGAAAAAGGUCACAAAAACGGGUGGGCUAUAGCCUUGGGGGGUGGGGCUGGCCAACUUCGUCCGCCGGACUCGGAAUGCCGCGAGACUUUGCGAGGGGCCUCCGUGUGCCAAAAAUAGGCCGCGGGCAAAGCCACGCCCAAAAAUAACCGCCCGAAGGCCGGGGCGCCAAGUUAGUCCAGCGGAAAAAGGCCACAAAAACGGGAGGGCUAUAACCUUGGGGGGUGGGGCUGGCCAACUUCGUCCGCCGGACUCGGAAUGCCGCGAGACUUUUUGAGGGGCCUCCGUGUACCAAAAAUAGGCCGCGGACAAAGCCACGCUCAAAAAUAACCGCCCGAAGGCUGGGGCGCCAAGUUAGUCCAGCGGAAAAAGGCCACAAAAACGGGUGGGCUACAGCCUUGGGGGGUUGGGCUGGCCACUUCGUCCGCCGGACUUGGAUUGCCGCGAGACUUUGCGAGGGGCCUCCGUGUGCCAAAAAUAGGCCGCGGGCACAGCCAUGCCCAAAACUAACCGGCCGAAGGCCGGGGCGCCAAUUUCGUCCAGCGGAAAAAGGCCACAAAAACAGGUGGGUUAUAGCCUUGGGGGGUGGGGCUGGCCAACUUCGUCCGCCGGACUCGGAAUGGCGCGAGACUUUACGAGGCGCCUCCGUGUGCCAAAAAUAGGCCGCGGGCACAGCCGCGCCCAAAAAUAACCGCCCGAGGGCCGGGGCGCCAAGUUCGUCCAACGGAAAAAGGCCACAAAAACAGGUGGGCUAUAGCCUUGGGGGGUGGGGCUGGCCAACAUCGUCCGCCGGACUCGGAAUGCCGCGAUAAUUUGCGAGGGGCCUCCGUGUACCAAAAAUAGGCUACGGGCAAAGCCGCGUCCAAAAAUAACCGCCCGAAGGCCGGGGCGCCAAGUUCGUCCAGCGGAAAAAGGCCACAAAAACGGGUGGGCUAUAGCCUUGGGGGGUGGGGCUGGCCAACUUCGUCCGCCGGACUCGGAAUGCCGCGAGACUUUGCGAGGGGCCUCCGUGUGCCAAAAAUAGUCAGCGGGCAAAGCCGGGUCAAGAAAUAACCCCCCGCAGGCCGGGGCGCCAAGUUCGUCCUGCGGAAAAGGCCACAAAAACGGGUGGGCUAUAGCCUUGGGGGGUGGGGCUCGCCAACUUCGUCCGCCGGACUCGGAAUACAGUGAGACUUUGCGCGGGGCCUCCGUGUGCCAAAAAUAGGGCGCCGGCAAAGCCGCGUCAAGAAAUAACCGCCCGAAGGCCGGGGCGCCUAGUUCUUCCAGCGGAAAAAGGCCACAAAAACGGGUGGGCUAUAGCCUUCUGGGGUGGGGCUGGCCAACUUCGUCCGCCGGACUCGGAAUGCCGCGAGACUUUGCGAGGGGCCUCCGUGUGCCAAAAAUAGGCCGCGGGCAAAGCCACGCCCAAAAAUAACCGCCCGAAGGCCGGGGCGCCAAGUUAGUCCAGCGGAAAAAGGCCACAAAAACGGGCGGGCUAUAGCCUUGGGGGGUGGGGCUGGCCAACUUCGUCCGCCGGACUCGGAAUGCCGCGAGACUUUGCGAGGGGCCUCCGUGUGCCAAAAAUAGGCCGCGGGCAAAGCCACGCCCAAAAAUAACCGCCCGAAGGCCGGGGCGCCAAGUUAGUCCAGCGGAAAAAGGCCACAAAAACGGGUGGGCUAUAGCCUUGGGGGGUGGGGCUGGCCAACUUCGUCCGCCGGACUCCGAAUGCCGCGAGACUUUGCGAGGGGCCUCCGUGUGCCAAAAAUAGGCAACGGGCAAAGCCGGGUCAAGAAAUAACCCCCCGCAGGCCGGGGCGCCAAGUUCGUCCUGCGGAGAAAUGCCACAAAAACGGGUGGGCUAUAGCCUUGGGGGGUGGGGCUCGCCAACUUCGUCCGCCGGACUCGGAAUACAGUGAGACUUUGCGCGGGGCCUCCGUGUGCCAAAAAUAGGGCGCGGGCAAAGCCGCGUCAAGAAAUAACCGCCCGAAGGCCGGGGCGCCUAGUUCUUCCAGCGGAAAAAGGCCACAAAAACGGGUGGGCUAUAGCCUUCUGGGGUGGGGCUGGCCAACUUCGUCCGCCGGACUCGGAAUGCCGCGAGAAUUUGCGAGGGGCCUCCGUGUGCCAAAAAUAGGCGGCGGGCAAAGCCGCGCCCAAAAAUAACCGCCCGAAGGCCAGGGCGCCAAGUUCGUCCAGCGGAAAAAGGCCACAAAAACGGGUGGGCUAUAGCCUUGGGGGGUGGGGCCGGCCAACUUCGUCCGCCGGACUCGGAAUGCCGCGAGACUUUGCGAGGGGCCUCCGUGUGCCAAAAAUAGGCCGCGGGCAAAGCCACGCCAAAAAAUAACCCCCCGAAGGCCGGGGCGCCAAGUUCGUCCAGCGGAAAAAGGCCACAAAAGCGGGUGGGCUAUAGCCUUGGGGGGUGGGGCUGGACAACUUCGUCCGCCGGACUCGGAAUGCCACGAGACUUUGCGAGGGGCUUCCGN